UGCCAUUCUAGGCCUAUUUGAGCACUGGACAGUCUUGCCAUGUUGACCAUUUCUUAUGGCUUUGUAAUAUUGAUAGGCAGUGCAAUGCCUUUUAACUAGCCUGAAAAUUCUUAGGACUGCAUUUUUUUAUUUAGAAAAGCAAAUUAUUAUAUGCUGAUUUAUUGUCGCCUCUUUUAUUUUUCUAGGUCUGAUCCUUUCUUUCAUUACUUGUCUGGUUAUUUUUGUGUACAUGAUGGGCUCAAAAAAUGGUGAGAGAUGCCUGCCAACGUCUCUCUUCCUCGGCGCAUUCUCGUCUCCAUUAGGCAGGUGAGCUCCUACUUCCUCUCUUUCCGUCUCACGUCGCUUUGUGGGUACUGUGCCGUGUUCUUGUGUUGUUGGUUCUGUUGUGCUACUAGCUGCUGCUCGUUGCUUCCUUGUAGUCUCUUUGUGAGAAGCAAGGAUUGGGGAGAAGGCUAUGAGCCCGUGUAUAGCAUUCCUUGUUUUUUACCCUGUUUUUUGAAGGUCCUAUUCAGGUUUGGUGAUAGGGAAAAGCAUUGCCGGUUGUCAACACAAUUAGAGGGCCAGUGCUCAAUUGAUGUCCUAUCGAUAGGGCUGAAUUCUUAACUGGAGAUGGCGUUCAUGGUACUAGGCCUACUCUGGCAUAUACAUGUCUGUUUCAGAUUGAUAGCAUGGUAAUACCACUCAUUAAUAGGUGCAUAAAUAUUCUUCUGUCCCCCUUUUUAGAGUGGUAACAAUGUAAUACCACUCAUUAAUGGUAUGCGAGUUUUUAUGAGAGAAAAUUGUAUGGUUUAGUAUAUGACAUAAAAAUUCAUUUAUCUGACAUGUUUUGGGUUUUACGGCGCAAUAAUGGUAGAUCUGGAAAUUGGAAACUUUGUCAGUUUCUCCUUUUGAGGCAUAUAAAAUUGCUUAUGUUGAAGGCAAGAUACAUCGCUAUUGCUACCUGUGGCUGGAAGGAACAUGAAGAAAAAAGGGAUAGAUAGGUUUCAGCAUCUUGGAUGAGAAAUUAUCAUGAUGCUCACUCUGAUUCGUAAUUACUAAUUGUUGCUUUUCAGAACAUCUGUGUGCAGGUCUGAGUAAGAAAUAGACCCUGUUUGUUUUCCCUAAAUACUCAGGGGUAAAAGAACAUGAGGGAACUAAGGAGAACCAUGGUGAAUAGCAGUCUUUCUUUUCUUCAGCUGAAAAAAACUGUAGGUAUCAAGGAGAUUGAUGGUAAAUGGGGUGAUUUUGGCAGGCGAGGACGUCAUGUACAACGGGAGGAAGGAAGUAUUGGAUGGGGCUUUUUGGCAAUGUCUCAGUUCGUUGUUGCUAUAUUACUGAAGAUAAGUUCCAAUUCUACAAAUAACCAAAUAUGUUCCUGAUGAUUUGCAAAGUUCUUUGUACCACCAAACUGAUUCAGAUGUUAUUGUUCAGGUAAUGAUCCAUAUGAAUGUGACCUUUGAUGAGCCUGGCGCCAUCUUUUCGUAUCUAAUACGCUAUUCUUGUGGCAUUUGAUGUUCUUAGCACGGGUUUUCGCUCCAUGUGUACAUUUCAUGAUGGAAUCAAUUUAUACAACAUUAUGUUCUUUUCAGCUAUGACAAGAAGCCAGGAUGUUUGCACUGAUGCUCUACAGUUAAUCAGCUUCCAAUAGUUGCAGACUGGAAGGAUUCACGUAAUUUACUGAACGGAUUUCCAGCCCCUUUUUAGCGCUUUACUUCUGAUAGACGUGAGCAUGGGUGAAAGCAAGGGGUUGCCGUUUUAUCGUCACGUCUCUACAGUUGUCACUGCACCAUCGCGAAUCACCAUAUCAAGCGGGAAUGAUAACUGUUGCAGAACAAAAAUCAAAUCAAGCCUUGUAUGCUGAAUUCGAUGCAAAGGUUUGGGGCAAGUAGUAGUUAUCUGUUGCAGGGAC